rnacentral:rRNA from 1 species
CCCUUAGAUGUCCGGGGCUGCACGCGCGCUACACUGAAGGAAUCAGCGUGCUAAAACCAUUGUCGAAAGGCAUUGGUAAACCCAUUAAAAUCCUACGUGAUUGGGAUCGGGAAUUGCAAUUAUUUCCCUUGAACGAGGAAUUCCCAGUAAGUGUGGGUCAUAAGCUCGCGUUGUUUACGUCCCUGCCCUUUGUACACACCGCCCGUCGCUGCCCGGGACUGAGCCGUUUCGAGAAAAGCGGGGACUGCUGCUGUCGGGGCUUUCGGGCCUUGGCUUCGGUGGAAACCGCUUUAAUCGCAGUGGCUUGAACCGGGCAAAAGUCGUAACA